ACGCUCGACACCUACGGGAGGCAGCAGUGGGGGAUAUUGCACAAUGGGGGAAACCCUGAUGCAGCGACGCCGCGUGAAGGAAGAAGGCCUUCGGUUGUAAACUUCUGUCGUACGGGACGAUAAUGACGGUACCGUACAAGAAAGCCACGGCUAACUACGUGCCGGCAGCCGCGGUAAUCUGAGCGGGCUGGCAAGGC
rnacentral:rRNA from 1 species